rnacentral:lncRNA from 1 species
CAACUCAAGAAGCAUAGAGGAUCACCACUCUAGUCAAUGAACCAGUAUGGCCUUUCUAGUUCCUAACACCAAGGACAUGCCUAAUCAGGGAUGAGACUGUCGUCGCAUAUCCAAAAUGGGUGCAUCCUGACAUUAACAACAAAUAUGAAAAGCCAUGCACACUCUAAAACAGCUGAACAAAGUGCUCCCACCUUGCAAGAUCACUGGAGAUCGCAACCCAAGCCCCAUGUACGCCCGAAGGAGCAAUUCUGAAGUUGCCUCUGUCAACCGUGUCGCUAGGCCGACGAGUAAAUCCCCUA